AGAGGGUUUGAUCCUGGCUCAGAUUGAACGCUGGCGGGAUGUACUUUACACAUGCAAGUCGAACGGCAGCACGGACUUCAGGUCUGAGUGGCGAGUAGCGAACAGGUGAGUAAUGUAUCGGAACGUGCCUAGUAGCGGGGGAUAACUACGCGAAAGCGUAGCUAAUACCGCAUACGCCCUUCGGGGGAAAGCGGGGGACCUUCGGGCUCGCACUAUUAGAGCGGCCGAUAUCGGAUUAGCUAGUUGGUGGGAGAGUAACGGCUCACCAAGGCGACGAUCCGUAGCUGGUUUGAGAGGACGACCAGCCACACUGGGACUGAGACACGGCCCAGACUCCUACGGGAGGCAGCAGUGGGGAAUUUUGGACAAUGGGGGAAACCCUGAUCCGGCAGCCAUCCCGCGUGUGCGAUGAAGGCCUUCGGGUUGUAAAGCACUUUUUGGCAGGAAAGAAACGGCACGGGAUAAUACCCCAUGCAACUGACGGUACCUGCAGAAUAAGCACCGGCUAACUACGUGCCAGCAGCCGCGGUAAUACGUAGGGUGCAAGCGUUAAUCGGAAUUACUGGGCCAAAGCGUGCGCAGGCGGUUCGGAAAGAAAGAUGCUGAAAUCCCAGAGCUUAACUUUGGAACUGCAUUUUUAACUACCGAGCUAGAGUGUGUCAGAGGGAGGUGGAGAUUCCGCGUGUAGCGCAGUGAAAUGCGUAGAUAUGCGGAGGAACACCGAUGGCGAAGGCAGCCUCCUGGGAUAACACUGACGCUCAUGCACGAAAGCGUGGGGAGCAAACAGGAUUAGAUACCCUGGUAGUCCACGCCUAAACGAUGUCAACUAGCUGUUGAGGCCUUCGGGCCUUGGUAGCGCAGCUAACGCGUGAAGUUGACCGCCUGGGGAGGUACGGUCGCAAGAUUAAAACUCAAAGGAAUUGACGGGGACCCGCACAAGCGGUGGAUGAUGUGGAUAAUUCGAUGCAACGCGAAAAACCUUACCUACCCUUGACAUGUCUGGAAUCCCGAAGAGAUUUGGGAGUGCUCGCAAGGAGAACCGGAACACAGGUGCUGCAUGGCUGUCGUCAGCUCGUGUCGUGAGAUGUUGGGUUAAGUCCGCAACGAGAGCGCAACCCUUGUCAUUAGUUGCUACGAAAGGGCACUCUAAUGAGACUGCCGGUGACAAACCGGAGGAAGGUGGGGAUGACGUCAAGUCCUCAUGGCCCUUAUGGGUAGGGCUUCACACGUCGCCGCAAUGGUCGGGACAGAGGGUCGCCAACCCGCGAGGGGGAGCCAAUCCCAGAAACCCGAUCGUAGUCCGGAUCGCAGUCUGCAACUCGACUGCGUGGAGUCAGGAUCGCUGGUAAUCGCGGAUCGGCACUGUCGCCGAGGUGAAUACGUUCCCGAGGUCUUGUACACCGCCCGUCACACCAUGGGAGUGGGUUUUACAGGAAGUAGUUAGCCUAACCGUAAGGAGGGCGAUUACCACGGUAGGAUUCAUGACUGGGUGAAGUCGUAACAAGGUAA
rnacentral:rRNA from 1 species